ACAGAGGGUGCAAGCGUUAAUCGGAUUUACUGGGCGUAAAGCGUGUGUAGGUGGCUUUCUAAGUCGGUUGUGAAAUCCCUGGGCUCAACCUGGGAAUUGCAGUCGAUACUGGAAAGCUCGAGUUCGGUAGAGGGCGGCGGAAUUCCCGGUGUAGCGGUGAAAUGCGUAGAUAUCCGGAGGAACACCGGUGGCGAAGGCGGCUACCUGGACAGAAACUGACGCUGAGGCGCGAAAGCUAGGGGAGCAAACAGGA
rnacentral:rRNA from 1 species